UACGGAGGGUGCAAGCGUUAUCCGGAUUCACUGGGUUUAAAGGGUGCGUAGGCGGAACGAUAAGUCAGUGGUGAAAGCCUGCAGCUUAACUGCAGAACUGCCAUUGAUACUGUCGAUCUUGAGUAUAUUUGAUGUGGGCGGAAUGUGUCAUGUAGCGGUGAAAUGCUUAGAUAUGACACAGAACACCGAUUGCGAAGGCAGCUCACAAAAACUAUAACUGACGCUGAGGCACGAAAGCGUGGGGAUCAAACAGG
rnacentral:rRNA from 1 species